rnacentral:rRNA from 1 species
AUUGAACGCUGGCGGAAUGCUUUACACAUGCAAGUCGAACGGCAGCACGGACUUCGGUCUGGUGGCGAGUGGCGAACGGGUGAGUAAUACAUCGGAACGUGCCCAGUCGUGGGGGAUAACGUAGCGAAAGCUACGCUAAUACCGCAUACGAUCUAAGGAUGAAAGCGGGGGAUCGCAAGACCUCGCGCGAUUGGAGCGGCCGAAGGCAGAUUAGGUAGUUGGUGGGGUAAAGGCUCACCAAGCCGACGAUCUGUAGCUGGUCUGAGAGGACGACCAGCCACACUGGGACGGAGACACGGCCCAGACUCCUACGGGAGGCAGCAGUGGGGAAUUUUGGACAAUGGACGCAAGCCUGAUCCAGCCAUUCCGCGUGCAGGAUGAAGGCCCUCGGGUUGUAAACUGCUUUUGUACGGAACGAAAAGGCUCUGGUUAAUACCUGGGGCUCAUGACGGUGCCGUAAGAAUAAGCACCGGCUAACUACGUGCCAGCCGCCGCCGUAA